UCUGACUGCAGUUUGUCUAUAAUUCCCCUG
rnacentral:piRNA from 1 species